UCCUCUUCAUUUCCCUGUAUUUCUUUCUCCACUUAUCUCCGCCCUCCUUUCCCUUGGUGUGUGCGUGUGUAGCAGGCAAAGAGAUCUUUUCUUAUCCAUGCUUCCCUCAUUCUCUCUCUCUGAGUUAGCCUCCAGAAGGAUCUUUACUGUACCAACUCUCAUCCUCUCACAGGAUACAGAAAAAGGUUAGUGGCCCAAUUCCCCGCUAUAGUGAUAAUUAGUGUAAACACUAUGAUUUUAGAAUUUUUUGAAAUUUUUUUAAAAAAUUUAAAAUUUUUGAGAACCCUAUCACAAUGGGUAGUCGCCCAAUUCCCUGUUAUAGUGAUAAUUACUGUAAACAUUAUGAUUUUAAAAUUUUUAAAAAUUUUAGAGAAAAUUUUGAAAAUUUGAGAACUUUUAGAAAUUAAUUUUAAAAUAUUAUCAUGUCAUUGAUUCGAUAUAUGUAUGUGAUUUUGGAUUAUUAGGUCCUAAGAAACUCAAGAGAGGUACUUAGAAUAAUGCCUGGUGGUUGACAUUUAC
rnacentral:lncRNA from 1 species